rnacentral:lncRNA from 1 species
GGCCGCGUGGGAGGAGUGGUCCCCGGACCCCUCACGCGCCCUUCCUCGCUGUGGAGCGGCCGCGGCUCUGCAAGGACGUCGGCUGAGCUGUUCAGCCUCGUUCCCUUCCGUUCUCUGAGUCCCCUGGCUGCCUUGCUGGAUUCCAACACGGUUUCUUAGACGAUGCGAUACGCUCGCAGGGUCCCACCCCUCCCUGAGAGAGGCGCACUCCGGACGUUAGUCCGCCAUCUUGAACCUCCGCUUGCUCACUUUUUUUUUUUUUUUUUUUUUAUAUAGAAGUGUGUAGUUUUCAACUGCUUGGAGACUUUGCUGUUAUUUUUCUUUUGAUUUCUAGUUUGUUCCUUGUGGUCAGAUAACAUAGUCUGUAUGAUUCAAUUUUUAGUCCAAAUAAAUUAAAGUUGUGAUUUUAAAUAACUGCAAAUCAAUGAUUCCAAAAAUGUUAUCUGUGGCCCAGACCUGGACUCCUGAUGUGUCUGUACAGCUCCAUCUGGAAUCUAACAAGUGUAUCAACUCUUGCUCAUCUGAAACUGAAAUGGAAGACCACAGCCUGGACGACAGCACAUCUGUAACAGCGCGAUUUACUGACAGUUUAAGCCCACUGUUGAGACCUACUGCUAAGAAGAAGUAUGAUUGUUUUAAAAAUAUUGCUGCUCAUCGACAAUUCACCUGGUCACUCGGGAACUUGGAUGGAGAUGUUUAGGGAAAGUAAUGUUUUCAUGUCUGCUAAUACAGUAUCCACUCUCCAGCCCAGGGAUCCAGGAGCAGUUUGACUCUCAAGUCUUACUAUUAAAUGAGAAAUGCAUUUGAUAAAGGUAUAGCUGUCCUAGAUAGUGAUUUCUUUGAUGGACAAAGUGAAUUGAAAACCUUUUGGAAAGGAUUCACCAUUCUAGAUGCCAUUAAGGACAUUUGUAAUUCAUGGGGGGAGGUUGAAAUAUCAACAGUGACAGGCGUUUGGAAGAAGUUGAUUCCAAGCCUCAUGGAUGACUUUGAGGGUUCAGGAUGUCAGUGGAAGGAGUCCCUGCAGAUGUGGUAGAUAGCAAGACAACUAGAAGUAGAAUUAGAGCCUUAAGGUGGGAUGAAAUUGAUGUGAAAUCAUGAUAAAACUUGAACAAAGGGGGAGUUGCUUCUUAUGGAUGAGAAAAGAAAAUAUUUUCUUGAGAGAGAAACUACUCCAGGUUGAGAUGUCAUGAACAUUGUUGAAACGACAACAAAGGGUUAAAAUAUUCCAUAAACCUAGUUGGUAAAGCAGCAACAGGGUUUGAGAAGGUUUACUCCAAUUUUGAAGGAAGUUCUACUAUGGCUAAAAUGCUGUCAAACAGUAUCACAUGCUACAGGGAAAUGUUGUGUGGAAGGAACAGUGUAUCAAUGCAACACACUUCAUUGUCUUAUUUUAAGAAAUUGCCACAGGCACCCCAAUCUUCAGCAGCAGCCAUCAAUAUAGAUGCAAGAUCCUCAC